GGGUGCGCGGUCCGAACGUCGGGCCGGCAGGCUUCAGCGUUGGUCGGGCCGCCAGCG
rnacentral:ncRNA from 3 species